GAUGAACGCUGGCGGCGUGCUUAACACAUGCAAGUCGAACGGAAAGGCCCCUGCUUGCAGGGGUACUCGAGUGGCGAACGGGUGAGUAACACGUGGGUGAUCUGCCCUGCACUUCGGGAUAAGCCUGGGAAACUGGGUCUAAUACCGGAUAGGACCACAUUUUGGAUGGUGUGGUGGAAAGUUUUUCGGUGUGGGAUGAGCUCGCGGCCUAUCAGCUUGUUGGUGGGGUAAUGGCCUACCAAGGCGUCGACGGGUAGCCGGCCUGAGAGGGUGUACGGCCACAUUGGGACUGAGAUACGGCCCAGACUCCUACGGGAGGCAGCAGUGGGGAAUAUUGCACAAUGGGCGCAAGCCUGAUGCAGCGACGCCGCGUGGGGGAUGACGGCCUUCGGGUUGUAAACUCCUUUCGCUAGGGACGAAGCGUUUUUGUGACGGUACCUGGAGAAGAAGCACCGGCUAACUAC
rnacentral:rRNA from 1 species